UACGGAGGGUGCGAGCGUUGUCCGGAAUCACUGGGCGUAAAGGGCGCGUAGGCGGCCUGAUAAGUAGGGGGGUGAAAAUCCUGCGGCUUAACCGCAGGGCUGCCUUCUAAACUGUCAGGCUAGAGCACAGUAGAGGCAGGUGGAAUUCCCGGUGUAGCGGUGGAAUGCGCAGAUAUCAGGAGGAACACCGGUGGCGAAGGCGGGUCUCUGGGCCGAUACUGACGCUGAGGAGCGAAAGCGUGGGGAGCGAACAGG
rnacentral:rRNA from 1 species